rnacentral:rRNA from 1 species
AGCAGCAGCCACGGUAAUCCGAAGGGUGCAAGCGUUAAUCGGAAUUACUGGGCGUAAAGGGAGCGUAGGCGGCGUGGUAAGUCAGAUGUGAAAUCCCGGGGCUCAACCCCGGAACUGCAUCCGAUACUGCCAUGCUAGAGGAUUGGAGAGGUAGCUGGAAUUCUUGGUGUAGCAGUGAAAUGCGUGGAGAUCAAGAGGAACACUCGUGGCGAAAGCGAGCUACUGGACAAUAACUGACGCUGAGGCUCGAAGGCCAGGGUAGCGAAAGGGAUUAGAUACCCGCGUAGUCCCUGUCUCUUAUAA